rnacentral:rRNA from 1 species
GACGAACGCUGGCGGCGUGCCUAAUACAUGCAAGUCGAGCGAGCUGAAUUCAAAGAUUCCUUCGGGAUGAUUUGUUGGACGCUAGCGGCGGAUGGGUGAGUAACACGUGGGCAAUCUGCCCUAAAGACUGGGAUACCACUUGGAAACAGGUGCUAAUACCGGAUAACAACAUGAAUCGCAUGAUUCAAGUUUGAAAGGCGGCGUAAGCUGUCACUUUAGGAUGAGCCCGCGGCGCAUUAGCUAGUUGGUGGGGUAAAGGCCUACCAAGGCAAUGAUGCGUAGCCGAGUUGAGAGACUGAUCGGCCACAUUGGGACUGAGACACGGCCCAAACUCCUACGGGAGGCAGCAGUAGGGAAUCUUCCACAAUGGGACGCAAGUCUGACCCAGCAACGCCGCGUGAAGGAAGAAGGCUUUCGGGUUGUAAACUUCUUUUGUCGGGGACGAAACAAAUGACGGUACCUGACGAAUAAGCCACGGGCUAAAC